GGCUGUGGCUAGAUUCAAGUAAUCCAGGAUAGGCUGUUUCCAUCCGCGAGGCCUAUUCUUGAUUACUUGUUUCUGGAGGCAGCU
ensembl:miRNA MIR26A2 microRNA 26a-2